rnacentral:rRNA from 1 species
AAUGAGACCUUAACCUGAUAAAUAGUUACAUGUAACCUCGGUUACAUGGGCAACUUCUUAGAGGGACUUUGUGUGUUUAACGCAAGGAAGUUUGAGGCAAUAACAGGUCUGUGAUGCCCUUAGAUGUCCUGGGCUGCACGCGCGCUACACUGAUGCGCUCAACGAGUUUACGAUCUUGCCUGAAAUGGCUGGGUAAUCUUUUUUUAAUGCUAUAUUUGAUGGGUCAUAUGAUCCGGAGUGCAGUUAUAAUUUA